AUGCUCUCAUCAGCUUGAUCAGCAGAUUAAAGUGCUGGCAUCUUCCCCAGGAAUUCCUGCACUGGGACAAACUGCCUUCAGUCACCUUUUCAGUCUGGGGCUAAGUGAGGAUGGAAAUGGAAGUUAUAGGCUAAACAUGCUGUUUCUUCAUUGUAAUGUAGAGAAACGUUAUCUUCAUCUUGUGCAGGAGGGCAAAGGAAGCUAGGAAGCUUUGCUUAUCUUUCAGUAGCUGAAGACAUUACUUGUGGCUCCUGAGGACCUCUUAGUGCAUUAACUAAAAGACUCUGGGCUCUCCCGGCAUCACUUCAGUGCAAGGACCCGUCUGACACUACUUAUGCCAGGUCCUGCCUCCCUCACAGGAGAAGCAGUCUGCAACUUUUGCUGCUCUAGACAACGCUUCAUCUCUGAGAAAACAGAGCUCUACAGAGUGGAUUUGGGGGAUCCGGGGGGAUCAGAGAGGAUCUGCCUCUGCAGAUUUGCAGCUGCUCUGCUGACAAGACCUCCUUGAGAGAGCCCGGCAGCAAUCUGCUAAACUUGAGCCUUUCUGACCUUCUCUGUCUCCUCAGGGAUUUUUGGAUUGGGCCUUAACCCUUUGACACUGACAGUUCCAGUGGGCACAUUGGUCAGACUGCAGCUCUCCUAUUCUUUGAAGAACUUUUAAUCUGCAGACUAACAUACCUUGUGGAUGGCAUUGCGUCUAGGACUCUGCUUCAGGCCUAAUGAGUGCAACAAAACCAUGUGCACGGUGAAACCGUUGGCUCUGGGCUCUGUGAAAUGACCUGCUGAGUGUAAAUUCCAAACAGGGAGAAGUGACCAGGCAUCAAAGCUACGCCCAGCCUGUCUGAAGCAACCAUCUCACUGAAAUAAGAAUCCUUCACCCAGUGGACAAGAGAAGGCUUUGGCAUCCUAUUCCCCUUUCAUUAGCUUUGGCGUCACAGUGCGUAUCUCAUCUCCUUGGGCAGAUAGGAAGGCCAGAUAACAUGCUGAUAAUAAUCCUGAUCUUCACAUCUCCCUGCAUGCUUUGGUGGUGCAUGGUGAGCAACUCUCAGUGUAGAGGAUGGUGACAACUUCAGCCAGUGGUGCGUGGGACUCUUCUGAGGUUCUCUGGCUCUUGUGAAGUGCUAGGUGCUCUUCUGGCCAGUGAGACUGGACUACUUUAAAGAGCUUGCAGUUAAAGUUACGAUGUUGCUGCUGGACAUCUCUGAUCUCAUUUGGGAGAGAAGAGAGGAAAAAAGUGCAGGAAAGUUUGUGAAGGGGAGUUACCGAGAGCAGAUCUGCCUUCCGUCUGCAACAUGAUCCCAGGGCUACAAAACUGCUGCUGCUUUUUCACUUGUCACCUGCAAUAAGAUGAAGAUAGCCUGUUACCCAAAGGGCUGCGUCCCUCUGAGCUGAGUGACUAGCUGAAAAUCGGUAGGGUUAGGAGUGCAGCUGUCCUACAGCUGUGAGGUUGGCGGGCAGGAGUGGUGGCAGAAUGUGGGGUGGAGUCGUACCUGUGUCAAGAAAGCCGGAGCUGUCUUGAGUUUGCAGUGAGUGUGAAUUAUGAAGCAAGUGUCUGCACCUCCCUGGAGCCUGUGCUCAGCUUGCUUUUGCGGUACAUCAGGCUUAGCAGCAGAAAGCUGGGGUCGCUUGGGAGCUUAGAUGGACUUCGGGUACCGCUGCCAGCUGGAUCAUCUCCUACCACAGAACUGUAAGAAACUGGGUGAAAAGGUUACAGUCAAGAAGUGAUUUGUUAAUUAAUUGGUGCCGUCUCCUGGGACACAGGGAUUGGAGCCCUUGUUCUGUUAUCACAAUGCCUGAUGAUUGUCUUCCCAGUGAGUUCUCUUUCUGUCUACCGUGUCAUGUGCGUGACCUAAGAGCAGAGCUGUGCAGUCAAGUGAACCCACCAAGAGUUUAAACAGUUUUGUGUCUUAAACUAUUAAGCAUCUGGAAACACUUUGUUGUUCCACUGUCUUGCCUGAAUGGUGUUGUGUGAAACUUGGGAACUCAUUGAGAUAAAUAUGGAUUGCAGACAAACUCUUGCCUCCUGUGAAUGAGAAGAGAGGAGGACCUCGAACAACCUGCCCUAGCUUCCCUCCUUCCGUGAUGCCAGCUCCACAGCAUGAAGGAAUAUCCCAUAUUAAUCUCCUAAUUUAAAUUUGAAAUGAAAAACUAUCGCAACACUUGGAGCAUACUUUAAUGCGUUGAUUGUGCUGGCUUGAUUCCAGCAGUGUAACUAAUUGCAUUCUGCCUGCAAAAAAUUCUCAUUGCUUGUGGCUUUUUUGAGCGGUGCUGGCUUGAAUUCUUGUGUGAUCUCUGCAGCCUGACUACACAUUUUUGGUGCUAAUGGAAAACUGCUUAAAAUGACUAAGCAUCUCUCCUUGAUGAAAGAAAAGCCAUGGGACCUGCUAAACAGAUCCAGUAUAGUGCUCUGCUGCUGAUGCAGUGAACCUAAGGAUCAGGUGAUGACUUAGAAAAAUGGUCUCGUUCUCCUGGAAACGAAGAGCUCAGGCUCCUAUUUGAAACUACUGUCUAAGCUGUGGGCAUGACGCAGGGAUGGCAAAAGGUGACCAAGGUACAUCUGCUGGUGUUAGAGCCAUCUGCCUUCAUCAGAGAUUGAGAUAUGGCAGAGAAGCAAUUGUUCGAAUUGGCAGGACAAUGGUGAUGGAGAAAAUACUACUGCUUGGAACAGCAGUGACCUCUUGUGGGUAGUGAGGAUGGCUGAUGAUGCUGGCAGUUGGUACUUGGGAGUCAGAGGAUAUUAUUCUGUUGUAAUUAUGUUUGUGGCCCUAAAGUGAAUGUGGUAAAGGGAGCUCGGAUUCCCUUGGCUAGGUAUUAGAAACAAACAGCUAUAAAUGAUGCUAAGUCUUUUCUUCUUCACAUGUAUGUGCUCUGAAGCUGAGAUGUGAAAUAGUGUCCUAAUUGUUCAGGAGCAGUCCAGACUCCUCUCUCUCUGGUGAACCCAGAGUUGGCCUUUGAGCGUAUCAGCGGAGUAAGAUAGAGUGAGACCAGAACUUUUGCUCAUGUACUUUUUCCAUGAAGUGUCUUCAUCUCUGGUAAAAGCUGUCUCACUGAUCUGGCACAAAAUCAGGAGAGUAACAUGGUAGUAUGCAAGCAACGAUUGUGUCUGUGAUAUGCAGAGGUCCUGUGAGGGUCUCGGCCCCUAAAAAUCACAUAAAAGACCUAAGGCAUAUAACCAGGUUCCUAAUGAAAUGAGAACUAUGCCUCAGCCCAGCUGCCUAGUCAGCUGCAAAGGCGAAGUAAAAACUUCUUGUUGAAGCCUUUUUUUUUUUUUUUUUUUUUGAAAAAGUUAUGUCACUACAUUCUAUCUCACAGUUAGUGGAGGUAAAUUUAGGUCGUUACAGCUCAACUGAUGCUUUCUAAGAUGCAGGGUGUAGCCUGUGUGUCAGAAAGCUCUUUUAGUAGUCGGUGAGAUUAAUUCAAGUCAGGAAAAAAGACUUUCUGUGUCUUUCCACCAAACACCAGGUUGCUUUGCCUCGCUGUGCUUUGAGAGCAUCUGAAGGUGAAAUUCUUAAAGGAGAAUUUUCAUUUUGUAUGUUGCUUUAUGACAAGCUAGUUGCUCAGAUUUUUUACUUCUCUCUACUCUGAGCUACACACAACGCUGCCUUUGAAUUAUCAUGUAUCUUUGGGCAGUUUCCAAAUAUUUCUGUUCUCUGGACAACUGCAGAUUCCAUGGGACUGAAGGUAGGAAUGUGUAUCCGAGCAGAGACAGCUGCACUGCUACCCUGCAAUUAGAA